rnacentral:RNase_P_RNA from 1 species
CUUUUUAUGCCGGAAUGGCGGGGUGAGGAAAGUCCGGGCUUCACAGGGCAGGAUGCCGGUUAACGGCCGGUCAGGGUGACCUGAAGGAAAGUGCAACAGAAAUUAUACAGCCGAUGGCUUUUUAGCACAGGUAAUGGUGAAAUGGCAGUGUAAGAGACUACCGCCUUUGUGGUAACAUAAAGGGUCAAUGUAAACCCCAUCCGAAGCAAGACCAAACAGGAAACGAUACGGCUGCCCGUCGUGUUUCCGGGUAGGUUGCUAGAGCUUAGCGGUGACGCUAUGAGUAGAUAGAUGAUUACCAGAUACAGAACCCGGCUUAUAGUCAGACUCAU